rnacentral:rRNA from 1 species
AUACGUAGGUGACGAGCGUUGUCCGGAAUUACUGGGCGUAAAGGGUGCGUAGGCGGAUAUUUAAGUCAGAUGUGAAAUUCCCGGGCUCAACCUGGGAAGUGCAUUUGAAACUGGGUAUCUAGAAUGCAGGAGAGGGAAGCGGAAUUCCUAGUGUAGCGGUGAAAUGCGUAGAUAUUAGGAAGAACACCAGUGGCGAAGGCGGCUUCCUGGACUGUAACUGACGCUGAGGCACGAAAGCGUGGGGAGC